CUGGUGACUGAUGCCAGGCGGGAUGAGGGAGAGGCAGAGUCAAGGCCGGCCUUGUCAGAAGCCCAGCAGGGGUGCAGCCGGCUGACGGAAUCCAGCGGGCAGGGCAAACUCAAGGCUGAUCUCAGGUUGAGACAGGGGGCUCCUGGCUCCCUCCACAGGGACCCCAGCUCAGAGGAAGCCACCCUCCACCUCCAUCCCCGGAGGAACGUGACAAACACCAGCAGCAUCCGGAAAGACCACGAGGAGGAAGGAAGGGGGCUUUGGUCCCACCUCUCUAGAACUCCACCUCCUCUUGGCUCUGGAAGAUGUUCUCCUGGGUGCGCCACCAAAGCCUGGAAGGUCCGCAUGUCCCCUCCCUGCUCCCACCUCCUUUAUGUGUUUUGUUUCAGGCACACCCUCAGCUCAAAUUUGCUUUGAAGGUCAGUAAUUUCCACUCUUUUUUUCAAAACAACUGCACAGUUCUUCUGGGACCCAAAUGCUGAUUGUCUGCACUGAGGAAUGAGUCUCCCUCAACAACAAGUACAUUCCAGAAAUAUCCAUGUAGCAUCUCUAAUGGGCAAGACAUUCAGGGGAGCCAACGAUGAACCAGGCCUGGGUCCGUCCCCAGAGCACCCCCACUAGUGAGGACCUGACCGCUCAAUGGAGCCCCUACUAUGUUUCAGGUAUGAUAUAAAUAUCCCAAAGUGAGGAUCUCACGGGAGAAGAGACCUAGGCUCAGACAUGUAGAAGAGACUCUUCACUGAGCAAACAUUUAUAAAGCGCCCGCCAUGGGCGUUUUGGUACAUCGGAUACCGGGGCUUUGGACCAACCCCAUCCUUGCCUACACAGAGUGGUGGCAGGACACCAUCGACGCUCCAGCCCUGACCGUCUGCAUCCAAAACAAGUGUUCCCCCGACCCCUCACGUUGCUUGCUUUCUCUUUAUAGACAAGUUUUUCCUGAGACAAAGUGAGGACCUCUGAAAGGGCUACUUCCUGAUCCCACCCUGCAAACACGUGAUAGAGUCCCAAGUUCAUAGAGGUCCCUGUUGGAAUACUUGACAUUCAACUCGGGAGGGUCCUGGCUCUCCCUCCUCAAGUGCAGUCUCCACCCUGGAUGGUUGCAAGGCUUCCAGCUGUUCUUCUGGUCCCGUCUCUCCCCUGCAAUCUGGCUGACCUUGGGCUGGCACUUCCUCUGUUCCAGAGGCUCCCAUGGCUUCCCAUGGACUUCGCUUGGACUCUUCAGUCUGCUGUUUCAAUCCUCCUCAAUUUACCCCCACCACCGUCCCCAUCUUUUCCCCAAGUCCUUCCUCCUGGUGCCGUAGACACUCAGCAGCUCGUGUGCCACCAUGGGUCUCUCUCUCUCUCUCUCUCUCUCUCCCUCUCUCUCUCUCUGUCCUCCCAGCAGGACAGAUGAGCUUGAAUCUCUCCCACCGUCUGGGGUCUGGGCUGGUCUUGGAUUCCUGCCUUACCUCUGCUUGAACCCUCGUCGCAUCCAGGAUCCAUCCUUUCCCUGACUGGUGCUCACUCUGCCUGAAGGACUUUUCCAAGCUACUUGGAGGGGGCAGAGGAACGCGAUUCCCCAGUGCUAGGCCAUGGGGCUUUCUGGGCUUUCUCAGAGAGUCUGAGCAGGGCCUUAGGCCAAGGCUAUAUAUGUGUCUCUCUAGGAAGGGUAUUUUCCUACUACGAGUAGCAUUUCACAAACCAAGGCACCCACCUCAGCCAGAAACUUGCUAGCAGGUCACAGUAAGACAGGGGCAGUGUGACCCGUGGCAGGAGGUGGGGUGGGGGGAGAGGUCGCGCUCUUAGAACGACUGCGGAGAUGAAGGCCCCCGCGGAGAGCAUUCGUCCUUUAUCAAGUGCCGUCAGAGGUGCUAGGCUGGGACUCGACCCCGGAGGGUCUGUGAAGCACCGGAAAAGCCCUCCCUUUUCCUUUGGCUGGCCUAAGAGGGGAAACAGGAAAGUGACCCCUGGCUUCUUUCUUCAGGUGGUUCCAUUUCCCCUUCUUUUCUCACUGCCCUCAGGAACAAGCCCUGGGAACUUCGCUUGUAGAGGGACACUGAAGGCGGCACCAGAAGCAAAGUGCUGCUAUCUGACGCCCGAGGGUUCCUGCGCAGUGGUCCCCGGCACGCUUGUUUCCUUGCUGACUUACUCCAACAAGCACUCGUCCAUCGAGCGGGCCGGUACUGAGCGCCCACUGUAUAUCAGGCAGCUGGCGAGUGCUGCGGGACCAGGCAGAGGAGCCCCUGCUCAGGCGGGGCCUCAAGUCCCCAGUCCGUUCGCUGGUUACGUAGGAUACUGCGAGCAGCCGCCCCGGCCACCCAUCCUGUGACUCUGCCAGAGCGCGCUCCGCUUUCCCACGAGGGAGGCUCUGCACGCCUCCUCCAGGCAGCCCUAGCUCUCGGCCUGCUUGGCCAGCCCCUGACCUGGCUCAACUUCACCCAGGACCCCGUCCUCCCCUGGGCUUUGGCAGCAACAGUAGCCAGACCAGUUGCCCGGGGUGGGGGGUGGCAUUCCUGGUGGCACCACACCGGAUCUGCCUGCAGCUGCUUUCACUUGCCCCCGGGAGGGCCCCACGGCUUCCCCAAGCCCCGCGGGAAUUACUCAUCCAUCCCAGGAACGUCCUUUUAUUCCACUGACACAGGAGCCCCCACCGCCAGCCCGGCCCGCACUCAGGGUCGGCUGCGUCCGGGACUUCCGCUUUGUUUCUUUGCUGAUGUCCUCUGGUCCCCACACGACCUCUCAGGGUGCCUCUGUGGGUCACCCUCACUACUGGUUUCUGUAUCAUUAACACUUGGGACCAGGGACCCACAACACAUUUGUUGACCAAGUGAAUGAAGACAUUUGGGAUGAAGGUCCUUUGACGAAUAAACAUUUGGGAUGAGGGUCCUUUGACGAAUAAACAUUUAAGCUUGGUCUUU